CCCCACCCAGACUUCCUGUGGCUGUCCAAUCACAGACUUCCCAAUGCAGCUCAAGGAGAAGUCUUUGCAAGGCAGGUGCUCUGGGAAAUUGCUGUCUGUUGAGUUUAGCUCCACUGAGCUAAACAAACCAGGAAGUAACAGGACUGGUUCUCUGAUUAACAGUCAGUGGGUGUAAUAAUGGUAAUUUUUAAAAGUGCUAAUUUCGAUUAAAA